rnacentral:rRNA from 1 species
CGGUGUUUAACUGGCGUGAUGUGGGACGUCCUACCGGUGGGCUUAGCCUCGCGAGGGGCGGCCCAACUAAUAUCCCGUCGCGGUGCUCUUUACUGAGUGUCGAGUCGGGCCGGUACGUUUACUUUGAACAAAUUAGAGUGCUUAAAGCAGGCUAUCCUCGCCUGAAUACUGCGUGCAUGGAAUAAUGGAAUAGGACCUCGGUUCUAUUUUGUUGGUUUUCGGAACCCCGAGGUAAUGAUUAAUAGGGACAGAUGGGGGCAUUCGUAUUGCGACGUUAGAGGUGAAAUUCUUGGAUCGUCGCAAGACGGACAGAAGCGAAAGCAUUUGCCAAAAAUGUUUUCAUUAAUCAAGAACGAAAGUUAGAGGUUCGAAGGCGAUCAGAUACCGCCCUAGUUCUAACCAUAAACGAUGCCAGCUAGCGAUCCGCCGAAGUUCCUCCGAUGACUCGGCGGGCAGCUUCCGGGAAACCAAAGCUUUUGGGUUCCGGGGGAAGUAUGGUUGCAAAGCUGAAACUUAAAGGAAUUGACGGAAGGGCACCACCAGGAGUGGAGCCUGCGGCUUAAUUUGACUCAACACGGGAAACCUCACCAGGCCCAGACACCGGAAGGAUUGGCAGAUUGAUAGCUCUUUCUUGAUUCGGUGGGUGGUGGUGCAUGGGCCGUUCUUAGUUGGUGGAGCGAUUUGUCUGGUUAAUUCCGAUAACGAACGAGACUCUAGCCUGCUAAAUAGGCGUACCUUAUGGUAUCGCGAAGGCCCCCGGCUUCGGCCGGUGGGUUUUUACUACCAACGUACAAACAAAUCUUCUUAGAGGGACAGGCGG